rnacentral:snRNA from 2 species
AUACCUUUCUCGGCUUUUUGGCUAAGAUCAAGUAUAUCUGUUCUUAUCAGUUUAAUAUCUGAUAUCGGUCCACAUGAUAUUAAUUAUAUUUUUUAAAGGAUAAAGCCCACAAAGAUAGCUUGCUAUUUGGGCUUUCACGAGUCGCCCAUACGCUGCACUAUUGCACGGGCCUGGCUCAACCCGC